rnacentral:RNase_P_RNA from 1 species
AAGGUCUGAGUAUUUUAAUCCCCCUCGAUCGGCUCUAGCGGGGCCUAGCUGUAAUCAGCUGCGUGACGUACCAGAAAAGCGGCUUCAUUUUCAUAUCCCUAAGAUUCUGUUACUGCAGAGGAGGGCAAGAUUGAAAGCUUUGAAAGCGUUGCGGGGAUCGGGCACACCUAUAACCAUCGUUUAGCAUUCAGCCGUCGCUAUCGCGCUUGCGCCUUGUGAAGAAGACGCCGCGGGAUUUACUUGGGCAUCCCGCAGUCUGGCCACGCUAUACUGCCAUCUAGUUCACCUAGAUGAUGUUCUGCCACCAUGGGGGCCGCCCUGGUGCUUCGAACUGCAGUCGUCGAGGUAUGGCACCAAGGUGACGGUCACACCAUAGUAUUGGUGCUGAUCCCUCUGAAGAAGUGUUGCACUAGCACCAAGCUUCAUGACAAAUUGCUACUUACGGCCGGAGAUAACCUCUCCUUGCAUACGAGGUUCUCCUUGCGCAUGGGGUUCUCCUUGCGUAUGAGGUGGUGGCUGAUUGUAUGUGAUGUGGUAUACUGGUCUGUUCUUGAGUUCACUUCGUGGCUCGCGCAUCCUUCGUGGAUCGUGAAACUCGAUUCAGACUACUCUCGGACUGGU